GGAAGAAUCUUCUAGCAUGUGGGGACUCUCGGGACCCAAGAGGGAGAGUAACUCCUAAAGACGUGGAGGCUUCUAGUGCUUCAGGACAGACAAUGGGUCUGAAAUUCUUGCUUGGGGCCAUAUGGAUUGGCCGCGCAGGGAGGAAAUUAUAUUCAGCUUUCUGUUUCUGCUCAACUCUUUCCACUGGGUUCCUGCCCUGCUUGAGUUCCUGUCCUGACUUCCUUCAAUGAUGAACAGCAAUGUGGAAGUAUAAGCCAAAUAAACCAUUUCUUCCC
ensembl:lincRNA BC028471 cDNA sequence BC028471